UACGGAGGAGGCAAGCGUUAUCCGGAAUUAUUGGGCGUAAAGCGUCCGCAGGUGCACUUCAAGUCUGCUGUCAAAGACCGGGGCUUAACCCCAGAAAGGCAGUGGAAACUGAAGUGCUAGAGUGCAGUAGGGGUAGAGGGAAUUCCCGGGUGUAGCGGUGAAAUGCGUAGAGAUCGGGAAGAACAUCGGUGGCGAAAGCGCUCUGCUGGACUGCAACUGACACUCAGGGACGAAAGCUAGGGGAGCGAAUGGG
rnacentral:rRNA from 1 species